rnacentral:rRNA from 1 species
UAGAGUUUGAUCCUGGCUCAGGAUGAACGCUGGCGGCGCGCUUAACACAUGCAAGUCGAACGAGAGAGAGGGAGCUUGCUUCCUUGAUCGAGUGGCGAACGGGUGAGUAACGCGUGAGGAACCUGCCUCAAAGAGGGGGACAACAGUUGGAAACGACUGCUAAUACCGCAUAAGCCCACGGCUCGGCAUCGAGCAGAGGGAAAAGGAGCAAUCCGCUUUGAGAUGGCCUCGCGUCCGAUUAGCUAGUUGGUGAGGUAAUGGCCCACCAAGGCAACGAUCGGUAGCCGGACUGAGAGGUUGAACGGCCACAUUGGGACUGAGACACGGCCCAGACUCCUACGGGAGGCAGCAGUGGGGAAUAUUGCACAAUGGGGGAAACCCUGAUGCAGCGACGCCGCGUGGAGGAAGAAGGUCUUCGGAUUGUAAACUCCUGUUGUUGAGGAAGAUAAUGACGGUACUCAACAAGGAAGUGACGGCUAACUACGUGCCAGCAGCCGCGGUAAAACGUAGGUCACAAGCGUUGUCCGGAAUUACUGGGUGUAAAGGGAGCGCAGGCGGGCGAUCAAGUUGGAAGUGAAAUCCAUGGGCUCAACCCAUGAACUGCUUUCAAAACUGAUUGUCUUGAGUAGUGCAGAGGUAGGCGGAAUUCCCGGUGUAGCGGUGGAAUGCGUAGAUAUCGGGAGGAACACCAGUGGCGAAGGCGGCCUACUGGGCACCAACUGACGCUGAGGCUCGAAAGUGUGGGUAGCAAACAGGAUUAGAUACCCUGGUAGUCCACACCGUAAACGAUGAUUACUAGGUGUUGGAGGAUUGACCCCUUCGGUGCCGCAGUUAACACAAUAAGUAAUCCACCUGGGGAGUACGACCGCAAGGUUGAAACUCAAAGGAAUUGACGG